rnacentral:rRNA from 1 species
GAUGGUUCAUUCAAAUUUCUGCCCUAUCAACUUUCGAUGGUAGAGUAGUGGUCUACCAUGGUGGCAACGGGUAAACGGGGAAUUAGGGUUCUAUUCCGGAGAGGGAGCCUGAGAAACGGCUACCACAUCCAAGGAAGGCAGCAGGCGCGCAAAUUACCCAAUCCCGACACGGGGAGGUAGUGACAAUAAAUACUGAUACAGGGCUCUUUUGGGUCUUGUAAUUGGAAUGAGUACAAUUUAAAUCCCUUAACGAGGACACAAUUGGAGGGCAAGUCUGGUGCCAGCAGCCGCGGUAAUUCCAGCUCCAAUAGCGUAUAUUAAAGUUGUUGCAGUUAAAAAGCUCGUAGUUGAACCUUGGGCCUGGCUGGCCGGUCCGCCUCACCGCGUGCACUGGUCCGGCCGGGCCUUUCCUUCUGGGGAGCCGCAUGCCCUUCACUGGGUGUGUCGGGGAAACCAGGACUUUUACUUUGAAAAAAUUAGAGUGUCAAAGCAGGCCUAUGCUCGAAUACAUUAGCAUGGAAUAAAUAGA